rnacentral:rRNA from 2 species
AGAAACCAACAGGGAUUGCCUCAGUAACGGCGAGUGAAGCGGCAACAGCUCAAAUUUGAAAUCUGGGAUUUUUAGUCUCCGAGUUGUAAUUUGAAGAGGAUGUUUCGGUUGGGACCUGGGCCUAAGUUCCUUGGAACAGGACGUCGUAGAGGGUGAGAAUCCCGUACACGGCUCCCGGUCUCCUUCCAUGUGUAACUCCCUCGAAGAGUCGAGUUGUUUGGGAAUGCAGCUCAAAAUGGGUGGUAAAUUUCAUCUAAAGCUAAAUAUUGGCGAGAGACCGAUAGCGCACAAGUAGAGUGAUCGAAAGAUGAAAAGCACUUUGAAAAGAGAGUUAAACAGUACGUGAAAUUGUUGAAAGGGAAGCGCUUGCAAUCAGACUUGCCUUCAGUUGAUCAACGUUCCUUUUGGUUCGUGCACUCUGCUGUUUGCAGGCCAGCAUCAGUUGGUGCGGUGGGACAAAGGUUGCGGGAAUGUGGCUCACUUCGGUGAGUGUUAUAGCCCGUUUCGUAAUGCCACCAGCGCCGAUUGAGGUCCGCGGUUCGUCCUAGGAUGCUGGCUUAAUGGUUGUAAGCGACCCGUCUUGAAACACGGACCAAGGAGUCUAACAUCUAUGCGAGUCUUUGGGUGUCAAACCCAUGGGCGAAAUGAAAGUGAACGGAGGUGGGAGUCUUCGGAUGCACCAUCGACCGAUCCUGAUGUUCUCGGAUGGAUUUGAGUAGGAGCAUAGCUGUUGGGACCCGAAAGAUGGUGAACUAUGCCUGAAUAGGGUGAAGCCAGAGGAAACUCUGGUGGAGGCUCGCAGCGGUUCUGACGUGCAAAUCGAUCGUCAAAUUUGGGUAUAGGGGCGAAAGACUAAUCGAACCAUCUAGUAGC